AAAAAAGGUAAGCUACUAAGAGCGAAUGGUGGAUGCCUUGACUGGUAAAGGCGAUGAAGGACGUACUAGACUGCGAUAAGCUACGGGGAGCUGUCAAGAAGCUUUGAUCCGUAGAUUUCCGAAUGGGGCAACCCAAUGUAUAGAGAUAUACAUUACCUAUAUAGGAGCGAACGAGGGGAAUUGAAACAUCUUAGUACCCUCAGGAAAAGAAAUCAAUAGAGAUUGCGUCAGUAGCGGCGAGCGAAAGCGCAAGAGGGCAAACCCAGUGCUUGCACUGGGGGUUGUAGGACUGCAAUGUGCAAGAGCUGAGUUUAGCAGAACAUUCUGGAAAGUAUAGCCAUAGAGGGUGAUAGUCCCGUAUGCGAAAAACAAAGCUUAGCUAGCAGUAUCCUGAGUAGGGCGGGACACGAGGAAUCCUGUCUGAAUCCGGGUCGACCACGAUCCAACCCUAAAUACUAAUACCAGAUCGAUAGUGCACAAGUACCGUGAGGGAAAGGUGAAAAGAACUGAGGUGAUCAGAGUGAAAUAGAACCUGAAACCAUUUGCUUACAAUCAUUCAGAGCACUAUGUAGCAAUACAGUGUGAUGGACUGCCUUUUGCAUAAUGAGCCUGCGAGUUGUGGUGUCUGGCAAGGUUAAGCAAACGCGAAGCCGUAGCGAAAGCGAGUCUGAAUAGGGCGCUUAGUCAGAUGCUGCAGACCCGAAACGAAGUGAUCUAUCCAUGAGCAAGUUGAAGCUAGUGUAAGAACUAGUGGAGGACUGAACCCAUAGGCGUUGAAAAGCCCCGGGAUGACUUGUGGAUAGGGGUGAAAGGCCAAUCAAACUUCGUGAUAGCUGGUUCUCUCCGAAAUAUAUUUAGGUAUAGCGUUGUGUCGUAAUAUAAGGGGGUAGAGCACUGAAUGGGCUAGGGCAUACACCAAUGUACCAAACCCUAUCAAACUCCGAAUACCUUAUAUGUAAUCACAGCAGUCAGGCGGCGAGUGAUAAAAUCCGUCGUCAAGAGGGAAACAACCCAGACUACCAGCUAAGGUCCCUAAAUCUUACUUAAGUGGAAAACGAUGUGAAGUUACUUAAACAACCAGGAGGUUGGCUUAGAAGCAGCCAUCCUUUAAAGAAAGCGUAAUAGCUCACUGGUCUAGUGAUUUUGCGCGGAAAAUAUAACGGGGCUAAAGUAAGUACCGAAGCUGUAGACUUGCGCACAACUUAGAUUAUUUAAGUUUAGAAUAUGAGAAACUAAGUUAUAUUUUUACUGAUUUUUAUAGAGUAAAGAUAGAAAUAAAACUUAGUAAAAUCAGUAAAAAUAUUCUUAGGCUAAAGUUAAGUAGUUUAAGUUGUGUGCAAGUGGUAGGAGAGCGUUCUAUUUGCGUCGAAGGUAUACCGGUAAGGAGUGCUGGAGCGAAUAGAAGUGAGCAUGCAGGCAUGAGUAGCGAUAAUUAAUGUGAGAAUCAUUAACGCCGUAAACCCAAGGUUUCCUACGCGAUGCUCG
rnacentral:rRNA from 1 species